GGCUAACUCCGUGCCAGCAGCCGCGGUAAUACGGAGGGUGCGAGCGUUAAUCGGAAUUACGUGGGACGUAAAGCGCAUGCAGGCGGCCUGUUAAGUCAGAUGUAGAAAGGCCCGGGGACUUUAACCGUACGGUAAUUGCUAUUUAGAAACGUGGCAGGCUAGAGUCUUGUAGAGGGGGGUAGGAAUUUCAGGUGUAGCGGUGAAAUGCGUAGAGAUCUGAAGGAAUACCAGUGGCGAAGGCGGCCCCCUGGACAAAGACUGACGCUCAGAUGCGAAAGCGUGGGGAGCAAACAGGAUUAGAUACCCUGGUAG
rnacentral:rRNA from 1 species